UAAUGGUUUUCACUAAAGUCAUUCGUUUUUGUAGCCCUCAGAAAGGGUAUUUGGAGGUUGAUGCUCACCGUCGAAUUCUUUCUUAUGCUCCAACCCAUAUAGCAGUAUGAGGGUCCAACACACAAGUUGCACGGGGUGCAGAA